CUGCAUCCGACUACACCUUUGUACAAUUACGAUACACAGGAGCUCACAGAAGAGUGCAAAACUGCCCUACAGCGAAUUUUUAAAAUAUGCGAUGUAGAUAACGACGGACUUUUAAACGAUAUGGAGUUGAACGCGUUUCAGCAGUGGUGCUUCAACACGCCGUUACAACCGC